rnacentral:rRNA from 1 species
UACGUAGGGGGCUAGCGUUGUCCGGAUUUAUUGGGCGUAAAGAGCGUGUAGGCGGCCAGGUAGGUCUGCUGUGAAAACUCGAGGCUCAACCUCGAGACGUCGGCGGAAACCAUCUGGCUAGAGUCCGGAAGAGGCGAGUGGAAUUCCUGGUGUAGCGGUGGAAUGCGCAGAUAUCAGGAGGAACACCAACGGCGAAGGCAGCUCGCUGGGACGGUACUGACGCUAAGGCGCGAAAGCGUGGGGAGCGAACAGG